UACGUAGGGUGCGAGCGUUAAUCGGAAUUACUGGGCGUAAAGCGUGCGCAGGCGGUUCGUGAUGUCUGAUGUGAAAGCCCCGGGCUCAACCUGGGAAUGGCAUUGGAAACUAGCGGGCUGGAGUGUGGCAGAGGGGGGGUGGAAUUCCACGUGUAGCAGUGAAAUGCGUAGAGAUGUGGAGGAACACCGAUGGCGAAGGCAGCCCCCUGGGCUAACACUGACGCUCAUGCACGAAAGCGUGGGGAGCAAACAGG
rnacentral:rRNA from 1 species